rnacentral:rRNA from 1 species
ACGUAGGUGGCAAGCGUUGUCCGGAAUUACUGGGUGUAAAGGGAGCGCAGGCGGGGAGGCAAGUUGGAAGUGAAAAGCGUGGGCUCAACCCACGACCUGCUUUCAAAACUGUCUCUCUUGAGUAGUGCAGAGGUAAGCGGAAUUCCCGGUGUAGCGGUGGAAUGCGUAGAUAUCGGGAGGAACACCAGUGGCGAAGGCGGCUUACUGGGCACCAACUGACGCUGAGGCUCGAAAGCAUGGGUAGCAAACAGG